AGUGAACGCUGGCGGUAGGCCUAACACAUGCAAGUCGAACGGCGGCACAGUAAGAGCUUGCUCUUACGGGUGGCGAGUGGCGGACGGGUGAGGAAUACAUCGGAAUCUACUUUUUCGUGGGGGAUAACGUAGGGAAACUUACGCUAAUACCGCAUACGACCUACGGGUGAAAGCAGGGGAUCUUCGGACCUUGCGCGAUUGAAUGAGCCGAUGUCGGAUUAGCUAGUUGGCGGGGUAAAGGCCCACCAAGGCGACGAUCCGUAGCUGGUCUGAGAGGAUGAUCAGCCACACUGGAACUGAGACACGGUCCAGACUCCUACGGGAGGCAGCAGUGGGGAAUAUUGGACAAUGGGCGCAAGCCUGAUCCAGCCAUACCGCGUGGGUGAAGAAGGCCUUCGGGUUGUAAAGCCCCUUUGUUGGGAAAGAAAAGCAGCAGGUUAAUACCCCGCUGUUCUGACGGUACCCAAAGAAUAAGCACCGGCUAACUUCGUG
rnacentral:rRNA from 1 species